UUGUGUGAUAAUCUUUUCUUUUCCCCUAAUUUCCUGGAGAAUUUGAGGGUUUUAUUGUGAAUAGUGAAUUGUGAAAUGGACUUAGAUUGGGAUGAUCUCUAUAUGUGGGUUCAAAAUUUCAAGCUUGUAGAGAGAAUUAGAUUUAGUAGAAAUGGGAUUUUGAGUAUGCGUGUAUUUUCUAUGCAUGUAUUUGUGCUUUUUUGUUGUAUACUUGUAUAAUUGAAGGAGAAGAAAAGGAAUAUAUGUGGAAAUAACAGUUUCAUAUGGCUUUCAUGGGGAAUUGAAGAUACAAAAUGACUAACUGAGAGAGUAGUCUUUUUUCAUUUUUAUAUGUUUUUUAGUGGGGGUUGGUGGGUUAUUAUUGCUUGCUCGUCUUUCAUCUCAGGCAAACUCUCAAUUCAUAUUGUUGUCGAUUCCAGAAAGAGGUUUUUGUAGUCAUUGGCAAUUCUUUUCUUUUUUCCAAUAUGUGCAUAUCCCGUUGUACCACAAUUGUUGUCCAGCGUCUUAUAGAAAUUUGAGAUUCUUUUGUCCUCUCUUGUCUAAUUCUUUUGCUUUUAAAAUAGUCACAGCUUGACACCUUUCACUCUAUUUCAGUUAUUUUAAAUAUAUUCCUGAUAAUUUAACUCCGGUUUGUCAUAUUUUUCUCCAUCUCUUCAUAUUAGGCAUGAUCUUGAACCUCUCUAGCACUUAGUUCUUGCAUAUUUUCACUAACUAUCUGGGUAUG
rnacentral:lncRNA from 1 species